rnacentral:tRNA from 1 species
GUAGUGGCUCAGCGAUAGGGCACUUGCCUCAGAUGCGUGAGGUACUGGGUUCAAUCCCCAGCACAACA